UUCUCAUCCAAUGACAGGCCUCGUUCUAUGAUGACAUCAUCCCACAAGUUCCAGUGUUAAAAUUGGGCUCCCGAGUUCUUCGUCCUUUUCUACGGGGAAAUGUGUGUGAAGGAUGACCCUUCCCUUUCAGUCUGGAGACGUAGAGAAGGACAUCAUGUAAACCACGUUUUUGUCUUUAAAUCUAAACCAUUAACAAAUGAAAUGAAAUUAGUAUUAUCUGAAGGAAUGUACAAAUACCUGCGUAAAGACUAGAUAAUUUUACAGUAAAGUUAAACACUGGGAGUUUUUCUCAAGCACUCAGUAGGCUAGAGUAAUAGGUAGUAAUGCAGGAAGAAAGAUAAGGCACGAGAACCUUUUAAUACAGUAGGGCCAUCAUGUCACUCCCGAAGAAUAACGUCUAAAAUCCGAGAAGUGAACCUUUUGUGGAAAGUCAUGUGAAAAUCUACUAUUUUGUGAGCUACUUAAAAAUAGACAAAAGAGCUUAAAAUGGAGGUACCCUGAAUGUGUGGAUAGUGCUGCUCCCAGACCAUGGGUUUUAGAAUUAAGAACACAGUGCCACACACAAGAUACCACCCUGUGGAUUGUUGGCCAGAGAGAUCUCAGAGGAUUCUCAAAUAAUGCAAUUGUCAUUCCUCCUGGUUGGCCCCCCAAAACAGAUGGUAAGUCUCCGUUCCUGAAGAUACCACAUAUCUCAGUUACAGGGUACAGAGAAACCAUCGUAGAACAAAGCUGGGGGCUCCUUCCCUUCUAGUGACCAUUCAUUGUGCCAGGAGGUACACAGACUUCUGCUGGAAAAGCAGAGUAGUCAGUGGUCAUACCAAGCUCUAGAGCCAGUGUGAUAAGUUAGUGACCUGCCAGGCCAGGUUUGCCACUGAGGCAAUGCUGACAUGAGUGUUAUGGAGUAACCAACUGCUCUGCAAUCAGAUUUGAGGCCUCUACACAGGAAGGCAUGCACACAGGAUAUGUGAGCUUCCUCAAAACGGUAAAUGGAUGUGUUGUCCAACUGCUUUCUUUUGUACACCUAGACUAGAGCAGCUUCCCGCCUUGGCCAGAGAAUCUACUUUUUACAGAAGUCAACCAUUCGUGCAGAGACUCAUCUGGCCGGAGUAUGAAGGGUAAGUGAGAACUGUAUGCUCAGCCAUGAAUCAGAGAAGAAACGGCAGAAUGUAGGAACGAGUGAGGAGGAUUGCUGUAAACUGCCUUCUGGUUAUGACAGGUCUGUACUGAUCAUAAGCAAAGAGCAGCCAAGGACACCUGCACAAGACGCCUUCAGCAUCCACCAGGGAUGGGGAGCUGCCAUGACACCCAACCCCCUUUGUGAGAGUUGAUGGUUUCCAAUCGAGAGGGCAGCAUUUUCCUCAGUGUUGCAGCCACUGAUAAAUACAGUUGUGGCUAUUGAUUUAAUAUCCCACAAGACUCUGACUGGCUCUGGUUGGGAAGACACUAUAUGGUAAUAAUGCAAAUACCUCAAAUUCAAUAUUUUAAACAAAAAAAUGUACUGAGUGCACUGAAAGAGUGUCUCCUGGACUGCUGCCUGCAGCCUAAGGCGAGGACUUGGGUUCGAUUCCCAGCAUCCACGUAUCAGCUCAGAACCACAAUCCAGAAAAUGGAAAACUCAAUCCAGAAAGUGAGAGAUUUCUUGCUUGGUUUGAAGUAGGUGAAUCCACUUCUAGUCUGGACCUAUGACGUGGGAAGACACACGCCAUUAACCCAGACCUUGAAGUGAGAAGACACGCCUUUAAUAUGGGCCACACCUUUUGCUGGACAUCUAUAUAAGGAGAGAGAAGAAGAAAGCUUUUGCUCUUUGCCUUUUUGCCCUCACCUUGCUAGCACGUCCAUCCCUUCACUGGCAGGAGAGCCUACGUGUUUGAGAUCCCAGCAUCUACUGAAGAGCAACUGAGGCAUCCCGCUUUGUGAACUGAACACUACUGGAUUCUUGGACUUUGCGUCCACAGCCAGCCAUUGUUGGAUUAGCUGGAUGGCAGCCUGCCUUACACAGAGAGAGGCAGCACCUUCUGCCCCACCCUGCUCAGUUCAGAAGACACUGGUAGCGUCAUUUAAGCACUGAAGCAAAUAACACAGCGUACUGCAAGUCAGAGGAGCUUAAGUGGGACUCCAACUAAUCUUUUUUAAGGCUCUGUGUCACUGCCACCUGGCCUUGAAUUUCUCAGGAUGACCUCCCCCAUUGCUGGCACAGGAGGCGCUCAGUCAAUACGCCCGAAUCCAGAUAAAGCACACCAAGCCAACCGGGU
rnacentral:sRNA from 1 species